AGUGAACGCUGGCGGUAGGCCUAACACAUGCAAGUCGAACGGCAGCACAGAGGAGCUUGCUCCUUGGGUGGCGAGUGGCGGACGGGUGAGGAAUACAUCGGAAUCUACUCUGUCGUGGGGGAUAACGUAGGGAAACUUACGCUAAUACCGCAUACGACCUACGGGUGAAAGCAGGGGAUCUUCGGACCUUGCGCGAUCGAAUGAGCCGAUGUCGGAUUAGCUAGUUGGCGGGGUAAAGGCCCACCAAGGCGACGAUCCGUAGCUGGUCUGAGAGGAUGAUCAGCCACACUGGAACUGAGAAACGGUCCAGACUCCUACGGGAGGCAGCAGUGGGGAAUAUUGGACAAUGGGCGCAAGCCUGAUCCAGCCAUACCGCGUGGGUGAAGAAGGCCUUCGGGUUGUAAAGCCCUUUUGUUGGGAAAGAAAUCCAUCUGGUUAAUACCCGGGUGGGAUGACGGUACCCAAAGAAUAAGCACCGGCUAACUUCGUGCCAGCAGCCGCCGUAA
rnacentral:rRNA from 1 species